rnacentral:rRNA from 1 species
AUUGAACGCUGGCGGCAGGCCUAACACAUGCAAGUCGAGCGAGGGGCGGACGGGUGUGUAAUGUCUGGGAAUUGCGCAGGAGAGGGAGAUAACAGUGGGAAAGUACUGCUAAUCGCACAUACGCUUGUAUUGCACAGGUGGGAAUAGCUAGUGGGUGGGGUAAUGGCUCACCAAGGCGACGAUCCCUAGCUGGUCUGAGAGGAUGAUCAGCCACACUGGAACUGAGACACGGUCCAGACUCCUACGGGAGGCAGCAGUGGGGAAUAUUGCACAAUGGGGGAAAGCCUGAUGCAGCCAUGCCGCGUGUGUGAAGAAGGCCUUCGGGUUGUAAAGCACUUUCAGCGAGGAGGCGUUACUCGCAGAAGAAGCACCGGCUAACUCCGUGCCAGCAGCCGCGGUAAUAC